rnacentral:rRNA from 1 species
GAUGAACGCUGGCGGCGUGCCUAAUACAUGCAAGUCGAGCGAACAGACGAGGAUCUUGCUCCUCUGACGUUAGCGGCGGACGGGUGAAUAACACGUGGAAAACCUACCUAUAAGACUGGUAUAACUUCGGGAAACCGGAGCUAAUACCGUAUAACAUGUUGCACCGCAUUGGUCAACAGUGAAAGACGGUUUUGCGGUCACGUAUAGAUGGAUCCGCGCCGCAUUAGAUGGUUGGUAAGUUCACGGCCUACCAAGGCAACCAGGCGUAGACGAGGGGACAGGGUGAUCGGCGACACUGGAAGUGAGACGCGGUCAAGGGGCCUAAGGGAGGCAGCAGUAGGGAACCUUCCGCAAUGGGCGAAAGCCUGACGGAGUAGGGCGGCGUGAGAGAAGAAGGUGUUCGGAUCGUAAAACUCUGUUAUUAGGGAAGAACAAAUGUGUCAUUAGAUAUGCACGUAUUGACGGUACCUGAUCAGAAAGCCACGGCUAACUACGUG